rnacentral:rRNA from 1 species
AUUGAACGCUGGAGGCAGGCUUAACACAUGCAAGUCGAGCGGAGAUGAGGUGCUUGCACCUUAUCUUAGCGGCGGACGGGUGAGUAAUGCUUAGGAAUCUGCCUAUUAGUGGGGGACAACAUUCCGAAAGGAAUGCUAAUACCGCAUACGUCCUACGGAAGAAAGCAGGGGAUCUUCGGACCUUGCGCUAAUAGAUGAUCCUAAGUCGGAUUAGCUAGUUGGUGGGGUAAAGGACUACCAAGGCGACGAUCUGUAGCGGGUCUGAGAGGAUGAUCCGCCAGACUGUGGCUGAGACACGGCCCAGACUCAUACGGGAGGCAGCAGUGGGGGAUAUUGGACAAUGGGGGGAACCCUGAUCCAGCCAUGCGGCGUGUGUGAAGAAGGCCUUAUGGUUGUAAAGCACUUUAAGCGAGGAGGAGGCUACUGAGACUAAUACUCUUGGAUAGUGGACGUUACUCGCAGAAUAAGCACCGGCUGACUCUGUGCCAGCCGCCGCGGUAAAAC